UCCCCAGUGGCGCAAUUGGUAAGCGCGCGGUACUUAAAAUGCCGAGGAUGUGAGUUCGAUCCUCACCUGGGGAA
rnacentral:tRNA from 1 species